GCUCCGUUGGUGGACCAGCGGAGGGAUCAUUACCGAGUUUACAACUCCCAAACCCCUGUGAACUUAUACCUUUACUGUUGCCUCGGCGGGUCAUUGCCCCGGGGAAACAGGCGGCCGUCAGGUCCCUUCCCACCCGGAAACAGGCGCCCGCCGGGGGACUCAAACUCUUCUGUAUUUUUUUGUUUACUGUAUACUGUCUGAGUAAAAAUUCAUAAUGAAUCAAAACUUUCAACAACGGAUCUCUUGGUUCUG
rnacentral:misc_RNA from 1 species